GACAGAGGGUGCAAACGUUGUUCGGAAUUACUGGGCGUAAAGGGCGCGUAGGCGGCCUGUUAAGUCGAACGUGAAAUCCCCGGGCUCAACCCGGGAACUGCGUCCGAUACUGGCAGGCUUGAAUCCGGGAGAGGGAUGUGGAAUUCCAGGUGUAGCGGUGAAAUGCGUAGAUAUCUGGAGGAACACCGGUGGCGAAGGCGGCAUCCUGGACCGGUAUUGACGCUGAGGCGCGAAAGCCAGGGGAGCAAACGGG
rnacentral:rRNA from 1 species